CAAGCGGCGGAGCAUGCGGAUUAAUUCGAUGCAACGCGAAGAACCUUACCAAGGCUUGACAUGAACUGGAAAGACCUGGAAACAGGUGCCCCGCUUGCGGUCGGUUUACAGGUGGUGCAUGGUUGUCGUCAGCUCGUGUCGUGAGAUGUUGGGUUAAGUCCCGCAACGAGCGCAACCCUCGUUCUAUGUUGCCAGCACGUGAUGGUGGGGACUCAUAGGAGACUGCCGGGGUCAACUCGGAGGAAGGUGGGGACGACGUCAAAUCAUCAUGCCCCUUAUGUCUUGGGCUUCACGCAUGCUACAAUGGCCGGUACAAAGGGUUGCGAUACUGUGAGGUGGAGCUAAUCCCAAAAAGCCGGUCUCGGUUCGGAUUGGGGUCUGCAACUCCACCCCAUGAAGUCAGAGUCGCUAGUAAUCGCAGAUCAACAACGCUGCGGUGAAUACGUUCCCGGGCCUUGUACACACC
rnacentral:rRNA from 1 species